AUAGCUAGAUAUCUAUAGUGAUAAUAUAUAUAGAGAUAUACAUAUAAAUACACUAUAGAUAUAUAAGUAAAUAAUCCGGUAAUAAACAAAUCAUAAGAGGGCAGAAAAGUAAUUUGACCAAAACCCUAGGAAGCCAUAUAUAAACAUCUCUAAACCUAACCCACACAUUUCGGCCGCUUCUCCUUUCAUCUUCCGUGGCCUCUCUCUCUCUCUCUCUCUCUCUCUCUCUCUCUCUCUCUCUCUCUCUCUCUCUCUCUCUCUCUCUCUCGGCGCCUUCUCCUCUCAUCUUCCGUUGACUCUCUCUCCACACAACAACAAAUCAGAAGAUGAAAUUUCAGAAGAUUGAAUUUGUAUGAUGCGUUAAAUUUUUUUGUUCGGUCUACUCUGUAAAUAAAGAUGUAAAUAUGCAAACAUAGUUUUAUCUUUC